rnacentral:lncRNA from 1 species
GUGUAGAGCUUCAUGGGCAUGGGCAUGGUAGAACUUCGUGGUCAUCCUGGUCAUGGUCAUGGGUCUAGAACUUCAUGGUCAUGGUCAUCAUGGCCAUGGGUGCAAAGCUUCAUGGUCAUGGUCAUGGGUGUAGAGGUUCAUGGUCAUGGUCAUCAUGGCCAUGGGUGUAGAGCUUCAUGGGCAUGGGCAUGGUAGAACUUCGUGGUCAUCAUGGUCAUGGUCAUGGGUCUAGAGCUUCAUGGUCAUGGGUAUAGAGGUUCUUGGUCAUGGCCAUGGUUGUAGAGGUUCAUGGUCAUGGUCGUCACGGUCAUGGGUGCAAAAGUUCAUGGCCAUGAGUGUAGAGCUUCAUGGGCAUGGGCAUGGUAGAACUUCGUGGUCAUCGCGGUCAUGGCCAUGGGUCUAGAGCUUCAUGGUCAUGGUCAUCAUGGCCAUGGGUGCAAAGCUUCAUGGUCAUGGUCAUGGGUGUAGAGGUUCAUGGUCGUGGGUCUAGAGCAUCAUGGUCACGGUCAUCAUGGCCAUGGGUGUAGAGCUUCAAGGCCAUGGUCAUCAUGGCCAUGGGUAUAGAAGUUCAUGGGCAUGGGUCUAGAGCGUCAUGGUCACGGUCAUCAUGGUCAUGGGUAUAGAGGUUCUUGGUCAUGGGCAUUGGUCUAGAACUUCAUGGUCAUGGUCAUCAUGGUCAUGGGUGUAGAGCUUCAUGGGCAUGGGCAUGGGCAUGGUAGAGCUUUGUGGUCAUCAUGGUCAUGGUCAUGGGUCUAGAGCUUCAUGGGCAUGGCCAUGGGUCUAGAACUUCAUGGUCAUGGUCAUCACGGUCAUGGGUGUAGAGGUUCAUGGUCACGGUCAUGGGUGUAGACCUUCACGGUCAUGGCCAUGGUAGACCUUUGUGGUCAUGGUCAUGGUAGAGCUUCAUGGUCAUGGUCACAGCCAUGAGUAUAGAGGUUCAUGGUCAUGGUCAUCAUGGUCAUGGUCAUGGCCAUGAGUAUAGAGAUUCAUGGUCAUGGUCAUGGGUGUAGACCUCCAUGGGCAUGGUAGACCUUCAUGGUCAUCAUGGUCACGGUCAUGGUCAUGGUCAUGGUCAUGGCUGUAGACCUUCACGGUCAUCAACAUUCAUGGUCAUGGGCACUGGGAGAAUACUGGGAGCACCGGGGGGGGGCACUGGGAGGGUAUCGGGAGGAUUG